rnacentral:misc_RNA from 1 species
AAAUCUCGAACCGAAGCCUUCGAUCCGUUCGAAGCUCGGUCUCGGAACGUGGGGGUCUGCGGGCGGCGACGUCGGCUCCCCUCAAACGCAUCAGCUGUGGGCACGAGCCCUGCGUGGCACGGCCUCCCCGACGUCGUAACGAUCGUCGUGGGCUGGAAGCGCAGUGAUCGGCGAUCCCAUGCUUUCCAACCUUUUUCUCGAA